rnacentral:rRNA from 1 species
GACCUCGGAUCAGACGUGAAUACCCGCUGAACUUAAGCAUAUCACUAAGCGGAGGAAAAGAAACUAACAAGGAUUCCCUCAGUAACGGCGAGUGAACAGGGAAAAGCCCAGCACCGAAGCCUGUGUUCAUUUGGACAUAAGGCAAUGUGGUGUUUAGGUCGUUCCGCAGAGAUACUGCUCCACUCCAAGUCCAGCAUUGAGUACGGUAUGGACAUAGCCCAAAGAGGGUGAAAGGCCCGUUGGGGUGGGGUUCAGGCAUGACAGUGUCUCUCUGGGUAGACCUUGGAGUCGGGUUGUUUGUGAAUGCAGCCCAAAGUGGGUGGUAAACUCCAUCCAAGGCUAAAUACUUACACGAGUCCGAUAGCGAACAAGUACCGUGAGGGAAAGUUGAAAAGUACUUUGAAGAGAGAGUAAACAGUGCGUGAAACCGCUCAGAGGUAAACGGGUGGAGUUGAACUGCAAUCUUCGAGGAUUCAGCCGGUGAGCAUGGCUUGAGCUUGGACAAAUUGGUUGAAUGCCAGGGUCUGUGUAGCAACAGGUCCGUACCCUCGGGUUCGGAUGUGCGAGGCACUUAACAGGUGUUGUGCGCUCUGGCAAUUUUGGACCAGCUCGUCGGUGCACUUUCUCGGAGUGUUCACCACGACCGGCACUGCUGUUUGGGUGUCGCGGUUAAACCGUUCUUGUAUCGCCUUCGUGGCUUUGCUUGAUCGGGAUGGCAGGUAGCUCGUUGGUUUCCAUGGUUCACUAUGGUUACUUUCGGGUGUAAUAGCUUUCCGCGAUGGUACUAUGCAGUGUGUCGGAGACGGCGGCUUAUGGUGUGUGCGUGCGUGCCUGUUCGUUCGGCAGUUCCGGGUUUGGUUAUUAUGUAGCCUGUUAAAGCAGGCCUGGUGAUAUCCCGGUUCUGUUGGGUCGGCGGUUGCGUGCGUGUCACUUCCCAGGGCCAACAGUCUGUGGUGUAGUGGUAGACUAUCCACCUGACCCGUCUUGAAACACGGACCAAGGAGAGUAACAUGUGCGCGAGUCAUUGGGCGUAACGAAACCCAAAGGCGCAGUGAAAGUAAAGGUCUGGCUUGUCUAGACUGAGGUGAGAUCCUGUCGUUUCCCACGCGUGGUACUACCAAGCAUCGAGCGGCAGGCGCAUCACCGGCCCGUCCCAUGGCGUAGUCACAUAGUCAAUGACCAGUGCGACACCGGGGCGGAGCAUGAGCGCACAUGUUGAGACCCGAAAGAUGGUGAACUAUGCUUGCGCAGGUUGAAGCCAGAGGAAACUCUGGUGGAGGACCGCAGCGAUUCUGACGUGCAAAUCGAUCGUCAAA